rnacentral:lncRNA from 1 species
AAGGCACAAAGCUUGCAUGUCGCAAGGCAAUGUGCCUAGGCACGAGGGUGCCGAAGGCAUAAGAAUUGCAUGUCGCAAGGUGAUGGGCCUAGGCACGAGGGUGCCGAAGGCAUAAGACUUGCAUGUCGCAAGGUGAUGGGCCUAGGCAUGAGGGUGCCGAAGGCAUAAGACAUGCAUGUUGCAAGACAAUAAAGCUAGGCACGGGGGUGCCGAAGGCAUAGGGGAUGCCGAAGGCACAAAGCUUGCAUGUCGCAAGGCAAUGUGCCUAGGCACGAGGGUGCCAAAGGCAUAAGAAUUGCAUGUUGCAAGGUGAUGGGCCUAGGCACGAGGGUGCCGAAGGCAUAAGACUUGCAUGUUGCAAGAUAAUAGAGCUAGGCACGGGGGUGCCGAAGGCAUAGGGGAUGCCGAAGGCACAAAGCUUGCAUGUCGCAAGGCAAUGUGCCUAGGCACGAGGGUGCCGAAGGCAUAAGACUUGCAUGUUGCAAGGUGAUGGGCCUAGGCACGAGGGUGCCGAAGGCAUAAGACUUGCAUGUUGCAAGAUAAUAGAGCUAGGCACGGGGGUGCCGAAGGCAUAGGGGAUGCCGAAGGCACAAAGCUUGCAUGUCGCAAGGCAAUGUGCCUAGGCACGAGGGUGCCGAAGGCAUAAGACUUGCAUGUUGCAGAUAGGAUGGAAGCUGGGUCCGUAAGGGAGCCAGACCUUCGAGGGAGCCGGGUACUUUGAAAAUUUUGGAGACUCCAAUUCUUCCAUGUUUCUUGCCGUUCGGCAAGGGUCUAGCUCCCUUUUUUUUUUUUUUUUUUUUUUUUGAAUGGCCGGGCCAUUUGGAAAUUUUGGACUCUCCAUAGUUCCUCCAUGGCCC